ensembl:misc_RNA Metazoa_SRP Metazoan signal recognition particle RNA
AGGAUUGAGGGGUUGGAAGAGACCUUUAGAACAGCUGGUUGUUAUGCCAACCGGGUGUCUGCACUAAGUUCGGCAUCAAUAUGAUGACCUCCCGGGAGCAGGGGGCCACCAGGUUGCCUAAGGAUGAGUGAACUGGCCCAGAUCAGAAAGGGAGCAGGUCAGAACUCCCACAGCGACAGGUAGCAGGACUGUGCCUGGGCAAUAUAGUAAGAUCUUUGUUCUU